rnacentral:tRNA from 1 species
UGGCCCGAGGCGACGGUGCUGCUGCUGGCCGCGGCGCACGGCCCCGCGCAGGUCGUGGCGCGGGGCCUCCUGUUCGCCGCGGGGCGGGCCGCC